rnacentral:pre_miRNA from 1 species
GUAGUAUUCCCUCCGUCCCAAAAUUCUUGUCUUACAUUUGUUUAGAUACGGAUGUAUCUAACACUAAAAUGUAACUAGAUACAUCCAUAUUUAGACAAAUUUAAGACAAGAAUUUUGGGACAGAGGGAGUACAAA